AGGCACGGACUCAUAACCCGUUGGUCACAGGUUCGAAUCCUGUCUGCCCCA
rnacentral:tRNA from 1 species